AGCUAUAUGCUUACAAAAAUUUCGAGAUCUAUGUUAUGAGUUGCUAAGAGAUUUUACAACUUAUAAAAAUAAAGGAUCUUUUGAUGAUCUUCAAAAGGGGGCGG